rnacentral:rRNA from 1 species
GAUGAACGCUGGCGGCGUGCUUAACACAUGCAAGUCGAACGGAAAGGCCCUGCUUUUGUGGGCUGCUCGAGUGGCGAACGGGUGAGUAACACGUGAGUAACCUGCCCUUGACUUUGGGAUAACUUCAGGAAACUGGGGCUAAUACCGGAUAGGAGCUCCUGCUGCAUGGUGGGGGUCGGAAAGUUUCGGCGGUUGGGGAUGGACUCGCGGCUUAUCAGCUUGUUGGUGGGGUAGUGGCUUACCAAGGCGUUGACGGGUAGCCGGCCUGAGAGGGUGACCGGCCACAUUGGGACUGAGAUACGGACCAGACUCCUACGGGAGGCAGCAGUGGGGAAUAUUGCACAAUGGGCGGAAGCCUGAUGCAGCAACGCCGCGUGCGGGAUGACGGCCUUCGGGUUGUAAACCGCUUUCGGCUGGGACGAAGCGUGAGUGACGGUAAUGGGUAAAGAAGCACCGGCUAACUACGUG